GACGAACGCUGGCGGCGUGCUUAACACAUGCAAGUCGAGCGGAAAGGCCCUUCGGGGUACUCGAGCGGCGAACGGGUGAGUAACACGUGAGUAACCUGCCCCAGACUUUGGGAUAGCCCUCGGAAACGGGGGCUAAUACCGGAUACGACACAGCUUCGCAUGGGGUCUGUGUGGAAAGUUUUUCGGUUUGGGAUGGGCUCGCGGCCUAUCAGCUUGUUGGUGGGGUGAUGGCCUACCAAGGCGACGACGGGUAGCCGGCCUGAGAGGGCGACCGGCCACACUGGGACUGAGACACGGCCCAGACUCCUACGGGAGGCAGCAGUGGGGAAUAUUGCACAAUGGGCGGAAGCCUGAUGCAGCGACGCCGCGUGAGGGAUGACGGCCUUCGGGUUGUAAACCUCUUUCAGCAGGGACGAAGCGUAAGUGACGGUACCUGCAGAAGAAGCGCCGGCCAACUACGUG
rnacentral:rRNA from 1 species